CCUACGGGUGGCAGCAGUGAGGAAUAUUGGUCAAUGGGCGCGAGCCUGAACCAGCCAAGUAGCGUGAAGGAUGACUGCCCUACGGGUUGUAAACUUCUUUUAUAAAGGAAUAAAGUGAGGCACGUGUGCCUUUUUGUAUGUACUUUAUGAAUAAGGAUCGGCUAACUCCGUGCCAGCAGCCGCGGUAAUACGGAGGAUCCGAGCGUUAUCCGGAUUUAUUGGGUUUAAAGGGAGCGUAGAUGGGUUGUUAAGUCAGUUGUGAAAGUUUGCGGCUCAACCGUAAAAUUGCAAUUGAUACUGGCAGCCUUGAGUACAGUUGAGGUAGGCGGAAUUCGUGGUGUAGCGGUGAAAUGCUUAGAUAUCACGAAGAACUCCGAUUGCGAAGGCAGCUUUCUGGACUGAAACUGACGCUGAGGCACGAAAGCGUGGGGAGCGAACAGGAUUAGAUACCCUGGUAGUC
rnacentral:rRNA from 1 species